GAUGAACGCUGGCGGCGUGCUUAACACAUGCAAGUCGAACGGAAAGGCCAGUGCUUGCACUGGUACUCGAGUGGCGAACGGGUGAGUAACACGUGGGUGAUCCGCCCUGCACUUCGGGAUAAGCCUGGGAAACUGGGUCUAAUACCGGAUAGGACAAUGGUUUGGAUGCCGUUGUGGAAAGUUUUUUCGGUGUGGGACGAGCUCGCGGCCUAUCAGCUUGUUGGUGGGGUAAUGGCCUACCAAGGCGUCGACGGGUAGCCGGCCUGAGAGGGUGUACGGCCACAUUGGGACUGAGAUACGGCCCAGACUCCUACGGGAGGCAGCAGUGGGGAAUAUUGCACAAUGGGCGCAAGCCUGAUGCAGCGACGCCGCGUGGGGGAUGACGGCCUUCGGGUUGUAAACUCCUUUCGCUAGGGACGAAGCGUAUUUGUGACGGUACCUGGAGAAGAAGCACCGGCUAACUACGUG
rnacentral:rRNA from 1 species